rnacentral:lncRNA from 1 species
UCUUGACUUAUAAUAGUGUUCCUGAUUAAAUCAGGCCCAUCACGGUCUCCUCUAAGAUUAACUCAAAAUCCCCCCUGAUCGGACAAAGCCUGUAAGACAUCUGCAAAAUCUCUGUCAUGCUAAGCAGUAAAGAGCAGCAGACAUCUCCCAGAGCAGCCACUUUGCCGGAACAGCCUUCUGAUCUCUACUGUUCCUUCCUGGGACAGGAGAUUCUACCUCAAAGAAUCCUCCCAUUAGCCAAG